rnacentral:lncRNA from 1 species
UUCUAUCUAUGAUAAAACAAAUUCUACUGUUCAAAGCAAACUGGGGCGAUAAAAUAAUAGCUAAUGUAGUCUAUUCACUACAUUGUUUCCAUCUAUCCAAGUAGUAGCCCAGAUUCCUCUGGGACCAAUACGACCUCUCUAAAUAUGUACUGUAAUCAUAAAGAUACACUGAUCAGAUUGUCAAAGAGAUGUCGUACCGCUAUCUAUGUGCUUGCUCUUUCUGCUGCAACUCAUAAGGACUGUUGGAUUUUGAUCUUGACACAUGUUGUGGAGGCGUCGUCUCAGGAAUGCUUUGAACCUGGACAAGCCACAAUAUAGCAUUAGUGGCAGCGAUCCAAACAGUUAUUACUACAAUGCCACACCCCGGCAUGUUUAAAACUCAGCAAGUAAAUAACCACUUACUGAAAUAGCUUCGUUUUGGACUCUCACUAAAUCUCGAGUUAGUUGUAGCGUUCUGGCGUGCAAGGUAACCAGAUUUACCUUUGCCAAAUUUAGUUAAUGAGUCCUACAUCAAUUGGAUGUUCAUGGAUUUUCGAUGAACCUCCUACAUGAGGAUCCUGGAUUGCGAGAUUCAAUUUGUCUCGGAGUAUCUAAGUUGAAGUGGAGAUUCACAGUGGCUUGCUUACUAGAGAGCACACAUACUACGGUAUAUGUAGCAUUAUCAUCAUAAAAGGCACGAGAUUCAACAAAUUGAGAAAUCAAAGAGAUGAAUAACUGUAAGCUAAAAUUCAGCACAUGAAUUUUGGGACAUUGCCUAAACAUGCAGUAUGAGAAAAGAUUGCUAUGCUGGAACUGUAAGAACUAAGAAAGAUAGCACUCAGUAC